UACGUAGGGGGCAAGCGUUAUCCGGAUUUAUUGGGCGUAAAGGGAACGCAGGCGGUCUUUUAAGUCUGAUGUGAAAGCCUUCGGCUUAACCGGAGUAGUGCAUUGGAAACUGGGAGACUUGAGUGCAGAAGAGGAGAGUGGAACUCCAUGUGUAGCGGUGAAAUGCGUAGAUAUAUGGAAGAACACCAGUGGCGAAAGUGGCUCUCUGGUCUGUAACUGACGCUGAGGUUCGAAAGCGUGGGUAGCAAACAGG
rnacentral:rRNA from 1 species